UGGGGAAUAUUGCACAAUGGGCGCAAGCCUGAUGCAGCCAUGCCGCGUGUAUGAAGAAGGCCUUCGGGUUGUAAAGUACUUUCAGUCGGGAGGAAGGUGUCAAGGUUAAUAACCUUGGCAAUUGACGUUACCGACAGAAGAAGCACCGGCUAACUCCGUGCCAGCAGCCGCGGUAAUACGGAGGGUGCAAGCGUUAAUCGGAAUUACUGGGCGUAAAGCGCACGCAGGCGGUCUGUCAAGUCGGAUGUGAAAUCCCCGGGCUCAACCUGGGAACUGCAUCUGAUACUGGCAAGCUUGAGUCUCGUAGAGGGGGGUAGAAUUCCAGGUGUAGCGGUGAAAUGCGUAGAGAUCUGGAGGAAUACCGGUGGCGAAGGCGGCCCCCUGGACAAAGACUGACGCUCAGGUGCGAAAGCGUGGGGAGCAAACAGG
rnacentral:rRNA from 1 species